UUCAACGCCGAGGUAUCUGAUA
rnacentral:siRNA from 1 species